rnacentral:tRNA from 1 species
GGUGGUAUAGCUCAGUGGUACAGCAUAUGCUUAGCAUGCACAAGGUCCUGGGUUCAAUCCCCCGUACCUCCA